rnacentral:rRNA from 1 species
UACGGAGGGUGCAAGCGUUAAUCGGAAUUACUGGGCGUAAAGCGCACGCAGGUGGCUGAGUCAGUCGAUUGUGAAAGCCCUGGGCUUAACCUGGGGAAUUGCAGUCGAUACUACUCAGCUAGAGUAUAGGAGAGGAUGGGGGAAUUCCCGGUGUAGCGGUGGAAUGCAUUGAUAUCGGGGAGGAACACCAGUGGCGAAGGCGCCCAUCUGGCCUAAUACUGACGCUGAGGCACGAAAGCUAGGGGAGCAAACAGG